ACAGGCCUGUCACCUGACACUGCACUGUCACAUGACAUCAUGCACCUGCCAUGUUUGGAGGAUGGCGUGUAGGAUUCUCUACCCAGUUCCAUGAUAGAGUCAAUCUAAUGCAGGACUGCCUGGAGCCACAUAACAAUCAAAGCAGGAUCAUCCUCUCCUCACAACCCCCAGAGAGAUACAGAGAGAAUAUGGAGAGAUGGA